AUGAGGAUAUUAGUCUAAUGACCUUUUUAUCAAAAAAGUAAAGUUAUAAUUUUUUUAAUAAAUAUGAUAGAUAUCAAGGGUUUAGUAUUUGAAAAGAUAAAGUAUUAUAUGACUAGAAAUCCAAUACAGCAAUCCAAAGAUAUUUUAUUUGUUUAAGAGAAGGUUUAUAAGAUAAGAAAUACAUGGACAAAAUAGAUAAAGAAAGAAAAG
rnacentral:lncRNA from 1 species